UUCAGUAUAAAUGGAGUGUCUCGGAUUUACAUACAGAAUAAUACGAAAUGCUAUACGAUCAGGUUGCAGCAGCGUACAGUCAAAAGAAAACAAAAUGCUUGCUAACUUGGUUAACUACUUGAUUAAAUCAACUGUUUUAACCAAGCAAGAUAAAUAAAUGUGGAAUCACUACUGAGUGAAUUAACAAAAUCAUUUUGGAACGAACGCUUCCAAUAAUUUGAAUGGUCUGUCGAAGUCAAGGUGUUAAGUUCCUAGUGUAAUGGUUAGUUCCCACCUGUGGGUCAUAACAUUGCGGGUUCGCCUCCUGGAGGAGAAAUUUUGACCACUCUUUUGUUAAACCUCUUAGAUGUAAAGUCCCCUGUUUAGGGGACCUGCCUGGUUCUGGUACCGAUUCCGAACGUAAUUUUCACUUAUAAAUCGAUUUGUGGACACUGUAGAUCAAAACGGCUUGAAUUGAGCAAUAGCCCUGGUUCCCACGGACACAGAGGCUGCAGUCCAAAUUCAAAGUAGACAGACCUUGGCCCUAAACAGCCCUUGAAUGGCGUUUUACAUUGUCACAUCGGAGAGCCAAUGUCCGUUGAAAUCUUGAAAUUGACCUAAAAAACAACCAACUUAAAGCUACGAAUGUACCUAGCAAGCUAACGUAGUUAGCUAGCUAGCUACAGUUACCCAUAGCUAGCUAACUAGUUUUAUAGCUUGGUAAUUUAUUCCAAUAUGUUUAUGAAACUAGCUACGUUUUAUAGGGUCCUCACUACAAGACUAAGCCACUUUGCCAAUGCUAAAAUCAAUGUCAUCUAUAUAUUUGUUUUAGUAAGCUAGCUUACAAAAUUCAUAAUUUUGUCUGAUAUGCCGAAAAUGCAGCCGUGUUGAUUAAAUUUGACACUUUCCGGCCACYGGAGUAUGAUACGUGACCACAGUUUGCAUUGAAUUGUGGGUCAUAUCAACCCCACAAGUGAUCAUUCCCUUGAGCUAAAUCGAGGGGGCAACGUUAGUGAAUUGGACCUCCACUUAAGACAAACUGCAUCCAGUUUCGACAAGGAUUCCCGCAAGGCAAAGAGGCUAGCGCGAGUGCGGAGGGCGUAAAAAUAACAUAUUUGGACUGCAGCCAGACUAUAUUUUCUGAGCCUGUGUGAUGUAGGAUGUGAAAUCUGAAACCACUUGAACCUGGGAUGUCCUUCCUACCAUUUAAUUCGCUCUUCCGACUGUCCAUCAAAUCUUGGCUGAACCCUACAUCACAGCCACUGACAAAGAACAUCCCUGCAAUUGUUACAUCGUAGCGGAGCAGGAGAGUGAUUUCAUCAAGGUGUGCCAGGAGAUGAGCUCGAGGUGGAUUGGGAGCAGACACGGGGACCUGUGAGGACCUCGGACUUUCCUACCUCAGAGAAAGCGUCUUCAUCUGAUGCACCUUGGCUCUAUGUUAAACAAGGCAGGCUAUUGAUAGAGGGAAGCGUUCCACCUGUAAAUAUGUGUAGAUGAUAGUCUAAAGAUAAGGGGAGCCGUUUGUUGUUUCGUGUUCCCUUUUUGGCCAUGGCCUUUUGGUCAACUGGUUAGUUUAUGUGUAUUAUUUUUACGCUGUUGGACGCUACCUUGAACUGGAAUUAUUUUGUCGGGCGAAAAGAAAACUUGUUUAGUGACAAUACAAAAGAAAAGUAACCACAA